rnacentral:tRNA from 1 species
UUAAUUGAAGCCAAAAAGAGGCAUAUCACUGUUAAUGAUACUACUAGAAAUUUUAUUUCUCAAUUAAG